rnacentral:tRNA from 1 species
GCAUUGGUGGCUCAGUGGUAGAAUUCUCAUCUUCCAUGUGGGAAUCAGGUUCGAUUCCCAGCCAGUGCA